CAAAGAAGGCGGGGGUGGGGGUAGCAGCAGAAGGAGCUACUCCCCGGCCGCUGCACAGUGACCAGAGCAGCCCGCGAUCAGAGCUCUGAACCCGACUAGUUCCUGGCUUCCUCUUCGGUUCCCUCCUCCUUCUGCAGCGACAACCCCCAGGGUCUCUCCGUAGAGCCUUCGAGAGCCCACGGUGGCCCGGGGCGCCGCGCCCUGACCCGCGCUCUAGGGUCGUGGAGGACUGCGCCCCAUCUGGGAAGACUGCGGCGCUAAGCCUCAAGUACCCCAGGGACACUGAGAAAUCGAAAAACGCGAGUCAGAGCAACUCCCGCCCCCCAGGAGCUGGGAACAAAGACCCCUUUGUUCCAGCUCUGUCCCUCUCCCGAGAGACCAGAGUCCCGUGGGUGUGGUGUCGUGGAGGGGAGGAGACAGGUCACUGCAGGUAACCCGCCUCCGCCUAGAACUUGGGAGGGGGAGGCACCCCACCGUGGUGUCCUAGGUAGCAAAGGCAGCCUGGGGCUCUGGAGGGAGGUGUCCCCCUUCAGGUGCACCUGCCAGCCCCAGCUCCAAGUCAGCUGAGUGCCUGCUACUCGGAUGAUGGGGUCUCUCCAGGUGUGAGGUUUGUGAACUCUCCUCGGCUCCGAAAGGAAUUUCAGGGUAAGGGAAAGUCACUGCCUUAAACAGAGGCUUCCAUGGCCAUCCUUGAACAGAAAAACCAUCUGGAAGGGUCCACCCAUGGAUCUGCUGUCACUCUAUCUCUUCUGUCUGCCACCUUUGCUACAUCCCAAGAAGACUUUCUGCAUCUUAAUUCUGAAUAUGAAAUGAAUAGGCUUUGUGUUUGUUUUCUCGUCGUUGUCUUUUGAGACUAGGUCACAUGCAACUUAAACUAGCCUUGAACUUCUAAUGUAGCCAAGGAAGAACUUGAACUUCUGAUUCCUGCUUCUACCUUCAAUGCUGGGACUGCAAGUCUAUGCGACUCCAUCUAGCUGCACUGGGUCAUUGGACUCCUGUUUAUCUAGUGAGUGUACCAGUAUCCCCUAAUUUCUCCAUCCAUGAACAACACUUGUUUAAGAUUCUUUACCACAUCUGGAGACAAGCCAUGGAACGCUUUACAAAUGAUUUGAUGGCUUAGUUUUGGCUCCCUCAGAGCCAUGCCCCACAUGGAUGGUGCAGCUUCUCAUGGAAUCAUCUAUCGCUCACACUUCAUUUCUCACCAUCCUCAAAUUUUAGGCUCAGGGAAAAUAAUUUUUUUAGAAAGAUCCCAGUUUACAGUAUUCUUCCAUGGCUCUGUGCUUGAUCACACUGACCUUACCUCCUAACACUUACUUUGCCCACCAGCCACCCCUCGGUUGUAGAGCAUCAAAGCCGUGCUCGCACCUUUAAGCGACUUGUUUUUGCUGAGUUACACAGAUAUGCUGUGAACACCCAUUCACAAAGCAGAUGUUGGGUGAUGAACAAGGCAACACAAAUAAAGUAAUUAUCUCAAUUUCUACUGUCUGUUCCCCGGUGUAUUCCCAGCAGCUUACAGAGUCCUUAGUGCAUUGUGGGAACAAAAUUGUAUGGGGGAGAAGUAAGUAUUAGUUAUCAUAAUUAUUAUCUCAACUACACCAAUAGUUGUUAGUUUAUCUGGUUUUUGUUUUCUGUUUUGUAUCAACCCCUGAGGUUGUAAGUCUGUCUAUCACAUAGGCUGUACUAGGCAAUGUUUGAUAAGUGAGCAAUGAGUGAACGAAUGGAUAGGAUUCACCUAGGGCAGAUCUUUCUGUUCAACAAGUGUGAGCACUAAAGUCGUCAUGCAUUUAUUGUUCACUUAGCUCUCCAGUCUCAUGAUUUCCUCACUGA
ensembl:lncRNA